GGCACUGCCUGCCCAGUGACAAUCGUUAAACGGCCGCGGUAUCUUGACCGUGCAAAGGUAGCAUAAUCACUUGUUCUCUAAAUAAGGACUUGUAUGAAUGGCCACACGAAGGUUUUACUGUCUCUUACUCUUAAUCAGUGAAAUUGACCUCCCCGUGAAGAGGCGGGGAUAACACAAUAAGACGAGAAGACCCUAUGGAGCUUUAAUUAAUCAACUCAAAAAGCAUAAAACAAUACCACCAAGGGAUAACAAAGCCUUAUAUGAGUUGACAAUUUCGGUUGGGGUGACCUCGGAGUAUAAAAAACCCUCCGAGUGAUUAAAACCUAGGCCUACCAGCCAAAGUAUAGUAUCACUUAUUGAUCCAAAAUUUUGAUCAACGGAACAAGUUACCCUAGGGAUAACAGCGCAAUCCUAUUCUAGAGUCCAUAUCGACAAUAGGGUUUACGACCUCGAUGUUGGAUCAGGACAUCCUAAUGGUGCAGCAGCUAUUAAGGGUUCGUUUGUU
rnacentral:rRNA from 1 species